GCAUAACAUCUCUUCUGCAGGGCUCCAGUGUGCGGUAUGUAUACAGAAUUCCAUUCAUGUACAUUAUUUGCAUCACUCUAUUCUAGACGGCAACUCGUGGAUUUCCGCUACUGUGCCAAUUGCAAGGUUUUGCAAAUGUAUAUUCUACAUCUCCAAUCAACUGUAAUACAGACAUUGCGUGAAUGGGAGAAAAACAUAGAUUUCUGUCUUUCGCUACCCUUACAUACAAUUGGACAGAAAGAGACUGUAGAUAAUUUUCAUGUUUUAGUGAUUUUAUUACCUAUCACCUAGGUUGAACUCAUAACCCUUAACAUAUUUUGGCCUAAUUAAAAAAAUUGAAUACAAAUUUGCUAAAUGUAUUUUUUAUUCUCUUAUAUGAUUUGCAGAUAUACAUACAGUAAAUGUAUAUAUAAACAAAAUGCUUAAUAUGUAUUAUUGUGGUAAAUUGGCAAUUAACUUGCAACAUGUAGUCUAAAAUAGCCAAGUCGGAAAAGUUGUUGAUUUUUUUUCAUGUUGGUCUAUUUUAGCCUUAGUUAAUAACUAAUUAAUGACUAGUAAAUAUGUCCCAAAGAAGACUGUGUGUUUGCUUAAACCUUGAAUGUACCUAGUUGUCCUUCAUUUAUAAGCCUAUUUAUAAACACUCUCUAAGUAUAUUUGUAUGUAUGUAUCUGUCGUUCUGUCUUGCUUUGUAUGUUGUUCUAUAAAUGCUUUAAAAAUGGAGUAAAAUCAGGUGUGCUUUAUAUUUAGUCAUGCAGCCAUAAUCAUCUGGAAGACGUCUUAUGAUUUUUAAUCAUGCUACUGUGUCCACGUAUCUUCACAUGAGUCACAAGUCACAGCCGCACCUAAUAGCACCCAACCUACAACAUAAACAUAUAAAACAAAGAUAAAAUGACAUCAUGUUCCAUAUGUUACAUAACAAUGCUUACUGACAACAACAGCCAUUAGUUAUGUGCUGUGCUUGUAUUUAUAUAUGUAUAGAUGUAUGUAUAAAUAUUGUUUUGUCUCAUGUUAUGCUUUGUACCAUUAGUUACAGAUAUUGAAAGGAAUUUAGUGUGAAGUUAAAGUUACAAAACUGAGCCACAAUAGAAAUACCGACAUAAAAUAUCAUCAAACACAUUAACAUGCAUAAACUAUUACAUUUAUUAACAGAUAAAAAACAACAAAACAAAAUAAGAAAAGGAACACACACACAAAAUAUAGUUUACAAGGCUACUUUAAAUCAGAUAGCCGUAGCGUGUUAAGCCCUCCACUACAUCACAGUACCCCAAUAUCGAUAGAUUCUACAUUCAUUUCUAUAUGGGAAAUGAACAGGCUAACUGCAAUAUUUACUACUGCAUAAACUGCAUCUAUGAAAAUGGAAGGGGCACCUUGAGUGGAGGGGCAGGUGGUCAACCAAAAGAGAUCUGAUCAGGAUUCCAAAUAUACACAGAUAAUGGGAAUUGGGGCACACCUGUAACAUGCAUUUGACGUGUACAUUUAAGGCUACACCACUGUUAAAAAAGGCAUGUUCUGGUCUGCCUCCAAUUUCAUUUUUUUUAGAUAGACAGACAGGAUAGAUAGAUAGACAGACAGGAUAGAUAGAUAGAUAGACAGACACAGACAGAUAGUGAUGUCGCGAACCCGAAAUUUUCGGUUCGCGAACGGCGAACGCGAACUUCCGCAAAUGUUCGCGAACCGGCGAACCGCCCGAAACGCCAUUGACUUCAAUGGGGAGGCGAAUUUUAAAACACACAGGGACUCUUUCUGGCCACAAUAGGGAUGGAAAAGUUGUUUCAAGGGGACUAACACCUGGACUGUGGCAUGCCGGAGGGGGAUCCAUGGCAAAACUCCCAUGGAAAAUUACACAGUUGAUACAGAGUCUGGUUUUAAUCCAUAAAGGGCAGAAAUCACCUAACAUUCCUAAAUCACAAUCAAUAUGGAUUGACACCUGACAUAUGACAUAUUGACACCUUGACAUAUGAAUUGACACCUGUCCUCAGAGCCCCUGAUGCACACGGACACAGAGCAGAAUAGAGACUGGUCCCCCUACAUAGGGUCACUUGGCAAAUAUGGAUUGACACCUGUCCUAAGGAUCCCUGAUACACACUGACACAGAGCAGAAUAGGGACUGUUCCCCCUACAUCGGGUCACUUGGCAGAUAUGGAUUGACACCUGUCCUAAGGUUCCCUGGUACACACUGACACAGAGCAGAAUAGGGACUGGUCCCCCUACAUCGGGUCACUUGGCAGAUAUGGAUUGACACCUUGUUACAAACUGCUAUUUGUAACGGGCCCUUUAAAUGGCAAAUUGCCCUGCUUCCCUGGGUUGUGGAGAAGCCUAUUUGCCAGCCUCCUCCCGCAUGACUAUGGCCCCUGGGAGAUUGUGAAAAUGUAUGCACUUUUAUUUGGUGUGUAUGGCCCUUUAAGACUGUCGGUGGGCAUAUUGGGGCUUAUGGACUCUUUAUGUGACUGGUGCUGGCCCUUUAAACACCUUUUUUGGGACAUCAGGAAGAUUGGGACACUGCCCCUUUAAGGCCGUGUCCCCAGACUUGUUGGGGACACGGCCCCUUUAAGACGGUGUCCCCUGUGUCCCCAGACCUGGUGCAAACCCUUUGUGCCUGCCUUGCUAUUUCCCACUUGGUUCAGUAAAUGGGAAAUUAUUUCAGCUGCAGAGACUAAGUCCCAUUCGGCGAUGGGACUUAGUCUUUUUUUCAGCCGUUUUUUUCAGCCUUAUUUCAGCUGCAGAGACUAAGUCCCAUUCGGCGAUGGGACUUAGUCUUUUUUUCAGCCUUAUUUCAGCUGCAGAGACUAAGUCCCAUUCGGCGAUGGGACUUAGUCGUUUUUUCAGCCUGAAAUAGACCGACCUCACAGCCCAAAUCUAUGGAACUGUUUUGGGCAGGAAAAUGUGCUUGCGUCGGUCAUAAAGGGACCUCCAGCUAACUUUUUAACCCCUGGAUGGAUUUGGCUGAUUUUUGGUUAUGUUUAUGUUUUAAGGUGCUGAUUCCAAAUAUGUAAUUAUGAAGAUGGGAUGUGUAGUUUAAAGUUACAGGGUAUGGCUAAAAACUGUAUUUUUACUGCCUGUGUUUAAUUAUGUUAAUCUCUUCCCAAACGUCAUUUCGUUCAAAGUGGAGAGAAUGUUAAAAAAUAUAUUUUUGUUCGGAGUGUGAGAAAUGCUUUUCAGCCGCUUCUAAUCUUAAGCAUCAUUUGAGGAGCCAUACAGGAGAGAAACCUUAUUUGUGGUGUGUUUAGUAUUGUUCUGAUCAGUUUAAUACCUUCCGCGUCUCCUAUCAGUGGACGUGUAUAUGGCAGCCAUUUUAGGAACCGUACACCUGGGACCCGAGCAAGGUCACCUCGUUCAACAGGCGACAACAUUUGUCCCUGGAAAACUAUCCUGGACAUUCUGUACAAUUUGUAUGGAUAUGGCAGUGAUUUCUGUAACAGGGAGAUGGAAGAAGAUGCUUGGUGGGUCCUCUUAAUUCAAAUUUGGGGCACUGCGCGGUCAAGCUAAUGUGCCACCAGAUAGGAGUGGUGUGUUUAGUAUUGUUCUGAUCAGUUUAAUACCUUCCGCGUCUCCUAUCAGUGGACGUGUAUAUGGCAGCCAUUUUAGGAACCGUACACCUGGGACCCGAGCAAGGUCACCUCAUUCAACAGGCUUGCAGCAUAUCCUCCAGGAAGAAGAGCCUGAACCCUUACCGGCUGCACGUGUCUUACCUGUACAUGGAAAGCUGCUGUGGUUCCUUGAUGAGCCAGCUGCCCGUGAGUUAACAUGUCCGUGGAGAAGCACUCUGUCCUGUAAAGCCUCACCAAAAAAAAGGAGUGGUGUGUUUAGUAUUGUUCUGAUCAGUUUAAUACCUUCCGCGUCUCCUAUCAGUGGACGUGUACACGGCAUUGAUUUUUGUAACAGGGAGAUGGAAGAAGAGGCUUGGUCGGUCCUCUUACUGCAAAUUUGGUGCACUGCGCGGUAAAGCUAAUGUGACACCAGAUAGGAGUGGUGUGUUUAGUACUAUUUUAUCAGUUUAAUACCUUCCGCGUCUCCUAUCAGUGGACGUGUACACGGCAUUGAUUUUUGUAACAGGAGAUGGAAGAAGAGGCUUGGUCGGUCCUCUUACUGCAAAUUUGGGGCACUGCGCGGUCAAGCUAAUGUGACACCAGAUAGGAGUGGUGUGUUUAGUACUAUUUUUAUCAGUUUAAUACCUUCCGCGUCUCCUAUCAGUGGUUGUGUACACGGCAUUGAUUUUUGUAACAGGGAGAUGGAAGAAGAGGCUUGGUCGGUCCUCUUACUGCAAAUUUGGGGCACUGCGCGGUCAAGCUAAUGCGACACCAGAUAGGAGUGGUGUGUUUAGUACUAUUUUUAUCAGUUUAAUACCUUCCGCGUCUCCUAUCAGUGGUCGUGUACACGGCAGUAAUUUCUGUAACAGGCAGAUGGAAGAAGAUGCUUGGUUGGUCCUCCUAACUGGAGACUGUGUUGCUGUACUGGUGUAAGGUGGAGCCAUUUAUAAAGUGUACACACCGCUUUAUAAAGCCAUUUAUAAAGUACUAAUACCUUCAUGGCUUGAACCUUAAGCAGGCGAUGUCACGCAAAGUCAACAGGUACCAGAGCCAAAAUACAGCAGCGUGGACCAUUUUUAGCCCAAGGCAGCCUAUCCUUAUCAGGCCUUUUACAUAGGGUCACUGAUUACAAGUGGAUUGACACCUGUCCUCAGAGCCCCUGAUGCACACGGACACACAGCAGAAUAGGGACUGGUCCCCCUACAUAGGGUCACUUGGCAGAUAUGGAUUGACACCUGUCCUAAGGAUCCCUGAUACACACUGACACAGAGCUGAAUAGGGACUGUUCCUCCUACAUAGGGUCACUUGGCAGAUAUGGAUUGACACCUGUCCUCAGAGUCCCUGAUACACACUGACACAGAGCAGAAUAGGGAAUGUUACUCCUACAUAGGGUCACUUGGCAGAUAUGGAUUGACACCUGUCCUCAGAGCCCCUGAUACACACUGACACAGAUCAGAAUAGGGAAUGUUACCCCAACAUAGGGUCACUUGGCAGAUAUGGAUUGACACCUGUCCUAAGUAUCCCUGAUACACACUGAUACACACCUACUUGAAUGGUAUAGACAUUUUUAGCAGCUCCUGGCCCGAACACCUGACCCACAUAGGAGCCGUAAUAGACCGGAUUAGGGAGUCCGGACUGACCCUAAAGCCCAGUAAGUGUCAUAUAGGAACGUGUAAAAACCUCCCCAAGAUAGUAGUAUGGGCCCCAGAAUGUGAACAGGCCUUCCAACAGCUCAAGACGGCGCUCAUUAAAUCACCUGUACUUUCUUCUCCCGAUCCAACUAAACACUUUCUCGUCCAUACAGACGCUUCUAUGCUUGGAUUGGGAGCAGUAUUGAGCCAAGUCGGAGCAGAUGGUGGCUAGCAACCCGGGGCUUAUCUAAGCCGUAAACUUUUGCACAGCGAAGUAUAUUCACUGGCAUUGAAAAGGAGUGCAUAGCGGUGGUGUGGGCCCUCAAAAAGCUGCAACCUACUUGUAUGGACAACCGUUUACCUUACCCACAGAUCACAACAAAUUUGGGGCACUGCGCGUGCAAUCUAAUGUGCCACCAGAUAGGAGUGGUGUGUUUAGUACUAUUGUUAUCAGUUUAAUCACUGUUACGCCCCCUAUCCGUUGAUGUGGAGCAAGACGCAGCAGAAGAGGACUAAGCCGAGGAGGUUAUGGAAGAGGAUGGAGUAGGAGGAGUAGAGGAGGUGGCAGCGUACUGGCAGAGUACACGCUGUAGGGCUGACACACCUGCUUGAAGAUAACUAACUGCUAUUCAAUCUAUAACAGUGAAAAAAAAAUUUUAUUUUUAAAUCCAAGCUAUUGUGACACCAGUGAGUGAGUGGUGUGUUUAGUACUAUUGUUAUCAGUUUAAUCACUGUUACGCCCCCUAUCCGUUGAUGUGGAGCAAUACACAGCAGCAGCACAACAGGACUCAGUCGAGGAGGUUAUGGAAGAUGAGCGUGAACUGCUCAAGGCGGGAGGCGGAGUGGCGGAUGGUUGAGAGGGGACAAGGAGGACAGCAGUGGUUCACGUGGCUGAAGAUGCUGGACCAGGAGGAGGCUGGCGGCUUAGAGUAGGCGAGCUGCUUGUACUCAUGUGUUGAUCCCAUAGGCGUUUGUGAUGUGAGAUCAUGCGCCUACGCAAAGCAGUUGUACCUAGGUGGGUGUUGGACUUCCCACGACUCAGUUUCUUUUGGCACAGGUUGCAAAUGGCAUCGCUGUUGUCAGAGGCAGACACACAAAAAAAAUUCCACACUGCUGAGCUCUGCAAUGACGGCAUUCUGGUGGUGGACACAGUAUGCGUUGAUUGGCGUGCUGUCGGGCUGACCCCGGGUGCCGAUGCAUGCUGUCUGACUGUGCCACUAGCUCCUUGCGACGACCUCCCCCUGUUUCCAACUCGUCUCCUCCUCCUCCCUGUCUCCCCAUCUGAACUUUCGCCCUGUUCUUCUUCUUGACGAGCGGGCACCCACGUGACAUCCAUGGACGCAUCGUCAUCAACCGCUUCACUUGUAUCUGACAACUCAGCAAAGGAAGCAGCAGCGGGUACAACAUCAUCAUCAUCAUCACACCGUACGUCCAUGUGUGUAAUGCUGCCUGCCUGAGACAUAUCCCUGUUAUCUACAUCCUCUGGCAAUAAUGGUUGCGCAUCACUCAUUUCUUCAAACGGAUGUGAAUAACUCCUCUGACAUACCAAGUAAAGCGGCUGUGGUGCUAGUUUUGGUGGUGGCGGCAGGCGGGUGAGUGGUAUCUUGAGAGGUGCCUGAAGCUAAGCUGGAGGAGGAUGGUGCGUCAAGGUUCUGAGCGGAGGCCGUAGAAGAUUGNNNNNNNNNNNNNNNNNNNNNNNNNNNNNNNNNNNNNNNNNNNNNNNNNNNNNNNNNNNNNNNNNNNNNNNNNNNNNNNNNNNNNNNNNNNNNNNNNNNNAUAACAGUGAAAAAAGUUUUUUUGUUUUUAAAUGCAAGCUAUUGUGACACCAGAUAUGAGUGGUGGCACUGACUGAGCAAAUGGGCACAGUAUCCACUGUGAGCCUGACACAGAAGCUGGUAGCAGUGGCAGACAACUGACUGCUAUUCAAUCUAUAACAGUGAAAAAAGUUUUUUGUUUUUAAAUCCAAGCUAUUGUGACACCAGAUGUAAUUGGUGGCACUGACUGGGGAAAUGCACUGUGAGCCUGACACAGAAGCUGGCAGCAGUGGCAGACAACUAAGUGCAUUUACAUUACAUAGAAAAAUAAAAUAAAAAAAAAGCAUACCCUUAUCCCUAACCUAGCUAUGCUUUUCCCUAUCUUAUGAACAGCAGCUACACUUUCCCUCCUCUUACUAAGCAUGCAGCUUGAGAAUGAAUCUAAAAUGGAUGCUGUCCAGUAGGUGGGAGGGUCUGCUAGGGAGGCUGUGCUGCUAAUUGGCUGGAAUGUGUCUGCUGACUGUGAGGUACAGGGUCAAAGUUUACUCAAUGAUGACGAAUAGGGGGCGGGUCGAACCGCGCAUAUGUUCGCCCGCCGUGGCGAACGCGAACAUGCUAUGUUCGCCAGGAACCGUUCGCCGGCGAACCGUUCGGUACAUCACUACAGACAGAUAGAUAGAUAGAUAGAUAGAAAGAAAUAUUAGAUAGAUAGAUAGAUAGAUAGAUGAUAGAUACAUAGAUAGAUAGAUAGAUAUAUAGAUAGAUAGAUAGAUAGAAAUAUUAGAUAGAUAGAAAUAUUAGAUCGAUAGAUAGAUAGAUAGACACAGACAGACAGACAGAUAGAUAGAUAGAAAUAUUAGAUAGAUAGCUAGAUAGAUAGAUGAUAGAUAGAUAGAUAGAUAGAUAGAUAGAUAAAUAGAAAUAUUAGAUAGAUAGAUAGAUAGAUAGAUAGAUAGAAAUAUUAGAUAGAUAGAUAGAUAGAUAGAUAGAUAGCAUGGGACUUCAAACAUGCAGUAGAAACAUGGAGCAGGGCUGAUUUCUAAGGCAUGAAUUGUUGCAAAUACAAAACUAAUUUAAAGUCAAUUUCAAUUUUUAAGCCAAAAUAGCCAAACUUGAAAAAUCUUGUGAGAAAUCCUGGUUUUCACUGGCUGCUUUAGUUUCAGAUUAUUAAAAGAGUUAUUUAUGUACGUUGGUCAUUUCACACUAUACCAGGACACUCGGCAGCUUUAUCACAGCCAAUCUGCUGAAUGCACCUUUUCCAGCACGGACAGGGUAAAUAAUGGUUGCAUGGGAGGGUAUAAUCGAUAGUGCCAACAUUACAGUUUAUCAGAAUAAUUAUAUAUUUGCAGAGUGUACCAUUAACUAUUAUUAUAAUGUGAUACAUCGUAUGAUUAAUCGCAGUCAUUAAAAAUAAUGUUGGAUCUUACAUAAUGAAAUCUACUAACAAACUGUGGGUGGUUGCUUAACGUGUAAAAGGUUCUUCUUGGAAACCGAUGUUUGUGCAGGUGGAGGUUGGAGGUAGCUCCUUUAUGCCUGUGUAGAGGUUACUAGAUAAAAUAUUCACCAAGUAAGCUUUAGUGAACUGGAGAUCUAUUUUGUUUUAGAACUUAUGCUAUGUUGUUUUUCUUUGUGAAAUCUUUUGAGUGCAAGAUUGUAAAAUUGUGUUACUGAUAUGCAGAAUUAAUGUUGCAGCAAGAGAGGUGUACAAUUUACUUUUUUUGUUACAUUUUUUUUUGUUUGAUUCAAAUACAACAAACUUGAAACUUUUGUUCUAGUAAGGCAAAAAACACACUAAAAUAGAUAAUAUGUAAUAGAAAAUCAACAGCACCAUAACCUGCUAUAGUUCGUUGUAAUGUUUAUGGUUCCAGGAGUGCCCUGUUGCCCCCAAUUGUAUGUAGUCAAACCAUUUGCUAACAGUUUCACUUCUUACUUGGGGUCCUCUGGAUGGGACUCCUACCUCCAUUACUUUUUAUGGAAGGCAGGAAAUGCCUAAACAGUAAUUUCUGUUAAAGGACCACUAUAGUGCCAGGAAAACAUACUCGUUUUCCUGGCACUAUAGUGCCCUGAGGGUGCACCCACCCGCAGGGUCCCCCUCCCGCCCGGCUCUGGAAAGGGGUAAAAACUUACCUUUUUCCAGCGCUGGGCGGGGAGCUCUCUGCCUCCGAUCCUCCUUCUCUCCUCCCUCGUCGGCUGAAUGCGCACGCGCAAGGAGCUGCGCGUGCAUUCAGUCGUCGCAUAGGAAAGCAUUAUCAAUGCUUUCCUAUGGGACGCUACGUGUUUCACUGUGAUUUUAGCGCUUUGUCAAUGAGACAGCCGCUAGAGGAAAUGGGGGAAGGCUUAACCCAUUCAUAAACAUAGCAGUUUCUCUGAAACUGCUAUGUUUAUAAAAAAAUGGGUUAACCCUAGCUGGACCUGGCACCCAGACCACUUCAUUAAGCUGAAGAGGUCUGGGUGCCUAGAGUGGUCCUUUAACUCUUAUAAGUUAAGUCUAGCAAUGCAAAGUUAUCUCAUUGGCUGAGAACUGCAGCUGAUUGAUCUCAGUCAAUGAGCUAAGCACUGGUGGGCUUAACUCAGAUAGAGAGCUUCCAAUUCUCCACUAGAUGCAGUGAGGCAAUAAGUGAUGCAAGUAUAAUAAGUGAGUCAAACCAUUCUAAAAACAAUCUGACUACUUACAUUGAGGGAGUGCAGGACACUCCCGAUGCCAUAAUCACUACAGCAAGAAUAACUUGUUGUGAUGUGAUAUAGUGGACUACAGACUUUUCAGGUGGGUCCUGGACUGUCCAUCUGAUAAUCCUUUUCUAUUUCAUUCUAUCUGUCUACUUAUUUACAAAUAUAAAUCUAUAUCCUAACAUGUUAAUUUUUUUUCUCCAGAACUCUUCAUCAUGUGGAAUCCAAACCAAGGUAAGUGCUAGCUCACAUCUCAUUCACUGGAUCUGCCCUGCUUUGACCAUGUAGACUUUACUUAUCUUACAGUCAAGCAGCUAAAAAAUAUCCAAGUCAGAACCAAAUCAAAUGUUUAUCACACAGUGACUCCUGACACCACAAUCUCUUGAUUUCACAUAUUAUAGGGUACCAUAUUUUCCAUAGGCCAAGGGUGCCCAAAAGAUAGAUCUUCAGAUGUUGUAGAACUACAACUUCCACAAUGCUUUGCAUACCUCUAGAAUGCUUUAAAAUGACAACGUAUCAUAUAAGUUGUAAUUUUAAAACAUCUGGGGAUCAACCUUUGGCACCUCCACCAUAGACUAUUUUGUAUCCUUCUACAUCCACUAUACUUCAAUUUCAAUCCAUUUUCUCCAUAACACAUGCCACACAUUUAAGACCAAUCUGAUAUCCUUCAUCUCUCUUAUUUUGUAACACAUUAUGGGCAUCAUCAGUAAGGCAAGCCCAUAAAUGACAAUAGAGAGAAUUGGCAACAUUUUACACACAAUUUCUACAUGUCACAGCAAAGUGGGAUGUUUUUUCCUUGUUUCAUGUGUACUAAAAAUAAUGACAAAAUAGUUAAAAAAAUAUAUUUCAAAAAUGAAUUUCCUCAUAUUUUUUGCAAACAUGAUUAAAUUAUAUAUUUAUUGCCUCUUAGUAUGUUGUGCACUCUAGUUGCCAUAAGUACUUUUUGCACAGCACAUAAACAAAUAGAUGUCAGGAUGCCCAUACAAUACAAUGUCUCUGUAUAAUACCCCAGCUCGCUCUGCCUAAAUCUAUCUCUCUAGCUUACUCUGAGUCUUUCUCUCAUGCUUUUCUGAUCUCAUCUUCAGUGGAAAUAGUGCUGUAAAUGAGUACGUUUGAAAAUGUUAUCUUUUUAGCAAAUGUUGUUGUUGUUGCUAUGCCCCACGUCAGCGACUCCUGACUCAACAUUAUCACUGCGGAUUGAUCAUUUGAUAACUACAAGGCCAUAAGGAAUGUAUUAAUUUCCUACUGUAUUAACAAUGUGGAGAUUUCCAGCUUUCAAACUAGCCACAACACGGGUGUCUCGGGUCUCAGCUUCAGAGCCACUCAGCACUAGAAGUUACAUACAACAAAGUUAACACACAGUUUAUGAUCUUAAAGAAUGUGAGAAUGUGUGUUUUUCUGAAACUCUCCUUUAGCUAGGUAGGUAUAAGGCUAAACUAUAAAGAUGUUGAUAAAGGAUACUAUAUUAUACAACAGGGGUUCAUCUGCAUACUAUUAGGACCUCAUGCUUUACUAGAACUGAAACCUGUUAAAGAAUUAAAGAGGAACAGUGUUUUUUUUUUGUUUUUUUUUUUUAUGGAGUAGGCUAUUCUACUUUUUUUCUCCUAUUUUUUAGCCCACCCCCUGCUCCCAUUAGAAAAAAAUCUUAGUGGUUAUAAACUACUGUCAAUCAUCUUCUUUCCACAUAAAACUGGUGGGGACCAUAUGGACAAGCCAAUACUAAGUGUAAUCAUAUUUUUUUCAAAGUCAAGGUAUGAUACAUAUUUGGCAUAGUUAGUGGUCAAAGUGUUUAAAAACUAGAACAGUGUGGCAUGCGUUAUGGAGAAAAUGGAUUGAAAUUGAAGUAUAGUGGAUGUAGAAGGAUGUGAAAUAGUCUAUGGUGGAGGUGCCAAAGGUUGAUCCCCAGAUGUUUUAAAAUUACAACUUAUAUGAUGCUUUGUCAUUUUAAAGAACAAUGUGAAAUAUACAAGACAUACACACAUACACACAUUUAUGACUUUUGAUUUUAUUCUGUUAUUUGAUUAUUUUACAUUCAACGUUACACUUUCACCAUUAUCUGUAGGUAAUCAUCUAAAGCAGUGUUCCCCAAUCCAGUCCUCGUGGACCACCAACAGUCCAGGAUUUAUGUAUUUUCCUGUUUUAUUCCAAUGGAAAUACUGACAAAACCUGAACUGUUGGUGGUCCACGAGGACUGGGUUGGAGAACACUGAUCUAAAAAACAUUGGUUUAUCCACUAAAUAGUGAAUUAUCAUGAAUUAUAUUAUAUAUAUUAUAUCCCACACAUUUAAAGUAUUUUAGAAUUUAAAAAUAUUCUCAGUGUAAUUUAUUAACUAGGAAUAGUCUGGAACUAACCAUGAAAUUGAAGAUUUUAGGCUAAAAUAACUGAGCAGAAUAAAAAGCUGACCGAUACAUUUUCUAGUUCAGCAGUUUGGGAGUAAAAUGUCCCUGUUUAAUUUAGUUCAAUUUCCUGUUUAGAGAAUAACUUUGUCUGAUGAACUAUAUUAAAAUGUUAUAAACGACUUGUAAAAUUGCAGCCAAGUCACAGAUUACUUUCCAACAAAAUUCUUUUGGUACACAUUUUCCAAGUCAAUUGGCCACUCUCCACAAUUUACUGUAAAUAGACAGAUCUCUAUGGUAAGAGUGUAACUUCUUCACAGCCAAGCAAAUGCUAAAAAAAUAAUCAACAGAAAUGGUAUUGUUUGUAUUCUGGAAAGGAAGAGAAACAUUGUUUUGUUUUUGUUUGUUUCAGAAUAUAGCACAUUGUUUAAAGUGGUACUGUAACCCUUCAUAUACAAUGUUUUCUUUUAAGCUAAAAAUACAGACUCCUACCACCAUGACCACUUCAAGUCACUGAAGUGGUCAUGGUGCUUGGAUUAAUGCUUUAAUGGCAUACACAUACAUUUCUGUUGAUUCCCAUUUAUGGACAAAACAAUUAAGUUAAAUAUAUAAAGCAGUAUUUUAAACAAGGAUUCUGAAUAUGUACCUCACAUUUUGUGUGCUUAAUAUUUGAUAACAGGUUAUUCACAUUGUGACACCAUUUCUCCAUAAAUUCUAUAAUCUUAUUAUUAAGAAUCUGUGAUCAGUGCUUUGGCUGACAUUUGGAACAUAUUGAUACCUGGUGCUGCUACUAUCUUAGCUACCAAGAUUAUGCCAAGGGCAUAUUUUGCAUCAAAAUUAGUUUGCAAAAAAAAUAAAAUUUAAUUUGCAAGUGUGCCAAUAACAUANNNNNNNNNNNNNNNNNNNNNNNNNNNNNNNNNNNNNNNNNNNNNNNNNNNNNNNNNNNNNNNNNNNNNNNNNNNNNNNNNNNNNNNNNNNNNNNNNNNNUACACACUUACAUACUUUUAUUUAGCUAUACACUUUUUUGGUAGUGAAGGAGUUAAAGCCAAGUACACGCAGGCUUAUUCAUUGAGCUAACUCAAUUUACCAUCCUCUGAGAUUUACAACACCAUCUCUGAAAUUGUGUUUGGCAAAUAACUGAACUAUAGUUUUGGGUUAAAUUCAAGGUCAUUUUUCUUUUUUCUUUUUUUUAUUUUCAAAUCAAUGCCUAAUUCACACCCUAGUGAAUCACUCCAGUGGACUUUUUGUUAAUGGAAUAGUUUGGUUUCUUCAAGGUUCUGUACAUUAACAUUAAAAUAUUUAUAUUGUACCCAUUUUCUAGGGCAAAUAGAAUAAUUGUGCUUAAUUUUGCUUUGUCUAUAUAUGAUUGUGUUUUGUAAAAUGGGAUUCAUGUUGCAUACAUGUUAUGCAUUGUAUAGAACAUUAAUGAUAGUGAGGAAUCUACUGGAUUCUUAUUAUUCAGCCUUUUGUUCCAUCAGGUACCUAUUAUGGACCACCCCCAGCCUAUGUUCCUCCACCAGGGACCUAUCCAGUGGCUCCUGCACCCUAUGCUUACCCAGGCUAUCCAGUACCACCUCCUCCAGUAGCUGGCUAUGUAUGUGUAGCUAAUCCUCCCUGUGCACCUGGCUAUCCCUGUCAUCAUGGACAUUAUGGACAUCAUGGUCAUCAUGGUCAUCAUGGUCAUCAUCACCACCAUCACCACUGCUAAAAUGGCCAUACAAA
rnacentral:lncRNA from 1 species